AUGCACGCUGGCGGCGUGCCUCAUACCUGCAAGUCGAGCGCACGGACGAGAAGCUUGCUUCUCUGAUGUUAGCGGCGGACGGGUGAGUAACACGUGGAUAACCUACCUAUAAGACUGGGAUAACUUCGGGAAACCGGAGCUAAUACCGGAUGAUAUUUUGAACCGCAUGGUUCAAAAGUGAAAGACGGUCUUGCUGUCACUUAUAGAUGGAUCCGCGCUGCAUUAGCUAGUUGGUAAGGUAACGGCUUACCAAGGCAACGAUGCAUAGCCGACCUGAGAGGGUGAUCGGCCACACUGGAACUGAGACACGGUCCAGACUCCUACGGGAGGCAGCAGUAGGGAAUCUUCCGCAAUGGGCGAAAGCCUGACGGAGCAACGCCGCGUGAGUGAUGAAGGUCUUCGGAUCGUAAAACUCUGUUAUUAGGGAAGAACAUAUGUGUAAGUAACUGUGCACAUCUUGACGGUACCUAAUCAGAAAGCCACGGCUAACUACGUG
rnacentral:rRNA from 1 species